CUGACAUCAAAAUGGAUGGAACAAAGAAGAGAAUAAUGAAUUCGGAUUCUUUCAUCAUACAAAAAGGAACCCCAAAAAAGAGGAAGUGAGAAACUGAAGACAUGUACCUCGUUUCCACUCAACGACACAAACAAACGAGAGACCGACGAAUUCGACAAACACCCAGAAAGAAGCAUAUCAAGAAAACACCAGCAACACGGACGAGGCAUCAAGAACUCAAGAGCCGAUCCAGGAUCAUCGCCGUGUAGAUAUGGAGAAAAAACCCAGUUGGCUCAAUCAGAAGGAAAACCCAAGUCCAAGAUCGUUCAAUUUGAGGUUUCAGGAAGCACCCGGAUCUUGAGCAGCAAGCAUCGCUAGAUCUAACUUUGGGCCUUUCAAAAAUCAGCACGAAUCUUGAACGGACAAAGGGUUUCAGCUAUGAUUUAGAUUUCCUGU